rnacentral:rRNA from 1 species
AUGCAAAAUAGCAAAUGCAUGAAAACACCUAUCCUUACUAGUGGACAUCUUGACCUCACUAAAGAGGACAAACCGGUUGAUCAAAAGGUUUAUCGAUCUAUGAUCGGUUCAUUGCUAUAUCUUUGUGCUUCCCAUCCUGACAUUAUGCUAUGUGUGUGCAUGUGUGCACAGUACCAAGCGGCACCAAAGGAAUGUCAUCUAUCGAAAGUGAAAAGUAUUGUGAGAUACUUGAUAAAUACACCAAACUUUCGCAUAUGGUAUCCCAAAGGAUCAUCUUUUAAUCUUGUGGGCUACUGCGAUUUACACUAUGUCGGUGACAAGAUUGAUAGAAAGUCCACUUCGGGUACUUGUCAAUUUCUUUGGAGGUCCCUUGUGUCUUAG